CAGAGUAGGAAGCAGGAAGUAAAUGGCACAAUAUUUUUGUCGUGAAGCUGUUGUAGGCUAGAUUGUUAAUGGUGUUCAUAAUCAAUUGUAGUUUUUGGUGAUUACGUGCCUUUAAUUCAACACAGAGGAGAACCACUGUGUUGCAGGCAAUACUGGGAAACUUAUGAUUCGGUUCUGACCCGGUUCUAUUCGCUGGUGUCUCCAUGAGCCGCAGUCGAAACGCCCCGGCCCGGGGCCAGGGGGCUGCCAAGGCCAGGCAGAUGGGCCUGCUGCUGGACCUGGAUGGGGGCGCGGACCUCGGGGGGGAUGACGGCGCCUUGGAGGCGGAGCUUCUCUCCCUGGUGGGAGACGGUGGGCAGCCAGGGGGGAAGAAAAAUGGAGGCAGAGCUCCAGUGCCGAUGGAGGACAUCGAGCGCAUGGCCGCCCUCUGCAUGAAGGACCUGGACGAGGAUGAGGAAGGAGACGAUGAUGGGGACUUGGAGAGCGACGCAGACCUAUUGGCGGAGCUGAACGACGUCUUGGACGACAACGAGGAAGAGGAGAAACCCGUCUCCCCGCCUCAGACGAAAGCGCCCGCCCCGUCCGGUGCUCCGCCCCCCGGCGGCUCCGGUGGGCUGGAGUCCCGCCUCGUGGAGCGCAUCGACAUGUACCAGGCCGCCAUCGGCAACGCCAAGGCCGCGGGGGAGUCCAGCAAAGCGCGCCGGUACGACCGGGGCCUGAAGACAUUGCAGUCCCUGUUGUCGUCCGUGAAGAAAGGAAAGCCAAUCAACGAGGAGGAUAUCCCACCUCCCGUCGCCACGGGCGCCAACCCCGCCCCCGAAUCUCAGCCUGAGCCUAUCAGACGGGUGGAACGGCCAUCGUCCGAGCCUGCACCUGCCCCUCCAGUCAAUGAGAAACCCCUUCGAGAUGCACCAGCCCCGCCAUCCAGACCCCAGCUCCUGACGCCUCCACAGAAGACUUUAGCCGUGACCCCAGGCACGCCCCUCAUCUCUCCUCUGACCCCCAGCCAGCCGGACACUCAGCAUUCAGAGGCUAAGAGCCUGGUUCUGAGCAGACAGAGGGAGUACAAACUGGCCGCCAUCCAAGCCAAGCAGGGCGGAGACACGGACCUGGCCAAGCGCCACUACCUGACAGCCAAGAGGUUAGACGUGGUGGUGGAGGCCCUGGACAGAGGAGAGCCACUGGACAUCGGCGCCCUACCGCCCCCUCCUGGAGACGCCGUGGCAGAGAGCCCAGCUCCACCUACACAGCGCUCCUCCCAGCCCCCCGCGGCAGCCCCCGCAGCCCCUGCAGCGCCCCCUGUGGCCGAUGCUGCUCUCCCAGCUCCUCGCAGUGUGGCGGAGGCACUGCAGCAGCGCAUGGACAAAUACAAGGCAGCUGCCGACGGCGCCAAGAGCAAGGGGGACGACCGCAAGGCCCGCAUGCACCUGCGCAUCGUCAAGCAAUACCAGGACGCCAUCAGAGCUCAAAAAGCCGGACGCCCCGUCAACCUGUCGGACCUCCCCGUGCCUCCCGGCUGUCCGCCGCUUCAGGGCGCUGAAAGCGGGGAGCAGAACUUCAUGGGCGUCCUGGAGAACGCCAUGAAGCUGGCCAAUCAGGACGCAGAUGCAGAGGAAGAGGACGGGCCAGAGGAAGGAGUGGCGAAGACGGCGGUAAGGCCCGUUGCCCAGCGAGCGAAGGCUCCGGCCCCCUCCCCGGAGACUCCUCCCGCCCCCGGUCAGGGCUCUAAGCUGGGGCCUAAAGCCCAGCAGCAGCUGGACUUCCUGCAGACGCGCAGGCAGCAGUUCAUGCGUGCGGCGCUGCGCUCCAAGCAGAUGAAGGACAUGCAGGGAGCCGCGCUGCACCUGCGCCACGCCAAGGGCCUGGACCCCAUGAUCUCCGCCGCCCAGGGCGGGCUGCCCGUCGACAUCACCAAGGUGCCCAGUGCUCCAGUCUCUGAGGAGGACUACUCUCUGGCUCAGUCCCGAAGCUCUCCGCUCUCCCCCCGCACCUCUGAGCAGUACGCCCAGCUCAUGGACCACCUGCGCCAGCAGCAUGAGAAAUGCCUGGGAUAUUCCCAGCAGUUCACCCACAUGGGCAACGUCGCCGAGACGACCAGGUUCGAGAAGCUGGCGGCGGAGUGCAUGCAGAGCAUCGAGAUCCUGAAGAAGGCUCACGCCAAGGGCUACGCCCUCCCCCGCUUCCACACGGAGGAGCGCACCUUCAACGCCGUCAAGAUCUACCCAGACCUGACCGCCAACGAGCUGGUGCUGACCAUAGUAAAGGGCAUAAACCUCCCUGCGCCAUCAGGAGUCUCUCCCAAUGAUUUGGAUGCCAGUGUGCGCUUUGAAUUUCCCUUCCCCAGCUCGGAAGAUCCCCAGAGAGACAAGACCAACACUGUGAAAGACACCAACUGCCCAGAGUACAAGGAGAAAUUCAAGCUGAACAUCAACAGGACCCACAGGGGCUUCAAGAGGGUGGUGCAGACCAAGGGCAUCAAGUUUGAGGUCAUCCAUAAAGGUGGCCUGUUUAAGGGUGAUAAGGUGGUGGGGAGCGCACAGCUUAAACUGGAAUCUCUGGAGACGCAGUGUGAGAUCAGACAGCUGAUCGAGAUUCUGGACGGGCGGAAGCCCACGGGGGGGCGUCUGGAGGUGCGGGUGAAGAUUCGGGAGCCGCUGGGGGGGCCGCAGCUCCACACGGUCACGGAGAGGUGGCUGGUCCUGGACCCCAUCACAGAGCCCCCCCCGAAAGAGACAACAGGCAGGAGACGAGAGCAGGGACCCCCCCACAAAAAAGAGGUUUCUGCUCCGAAAUCUUCACCUCAUAACGACCACGGGAAGAACAGCGGUCGUCCCCCUCCCCAGUACAAGCUCCACAGCUUCAAACUGCUCAGCUAUGACAAGGAGAGGCUGGACAGUAAGAUCACUGAGUACAAGAGGAGCAGGAGGGAUGUUCCUCCAGACCUGGUGCAGCAGCACAGGGAGCUCAGCCACCGACUGCAGUGGCAGAGUGCACAGCUAGAGAGAGCCUCUCCCAGCCUGGUGUCAGAGUAUGAGAGGGUGUUGCAGCGGCUUGUGCAGGGUCUCGGUGAGGGGGUGAAGAAGUACUCCAGCCAGGGAAACAGAGAGGCGGCUAAGGAGGCCCUGGGGAGGAUGAGGCUGGUGGAGAGCGAGAUGGAGAGCCUGAGGAGGCGACGCACGGUCUGAGCCGGGUGGAGCUGAGGGAGGAGCUGAGGGAGGGGGACUGAGGCACGGGCUGCGUGGUGUUCACCACACACACACUUAGACACACUCACUUAUACACACACACACACACACACACACUUAGACAUGCACACUUAUACACAUACACAUGUACUUAUACACACACACUCGCAUGCACACACACAGACACACUAAAAUAUAUAUAGUGUAUAUACACUUAUACACACACACAAUCUCACACAUGCACACUUAUACAAGCACCUAUAUACACACACACACUCACACCUCACAGUCACAAGCAUACACUCCAAAGAAAUCAGAAAGACACUACAUUCUGAGACCACUGACGCACGUCCCCACAACCUGUUGAUAUCUGCCGUCACUACUCACUGCCACAGCUGGACCUCUUCAGCUGCCUCCUUUUCAUAUAGACAAAACAACCUGGGGACUAAAGGGACUAAAAAGCUGUACGUUAUACUUUAUAGUUUAUUAAGGGCUGGUUGCACUGAAAGCUGGAAUUGAAAUGGUAAUCUGAUCUUUGCAAACUUACUGUCAAAUAUUAAUGAAGAGAGGGGAAAAAACAAAAUA